GAAGAAGCACCGGCCAACUACGUGCCAGCAGCCGCGGUAAUACGUAAGGUGCGAGCGUUGUCCGGAAUUAUUGGGCGUAAAGAGCUCGUAGGUGGUUUGUCGCGUUGUUCGUGAAAUCUCACGGCUUAACUGUGAGCGUGCGGGCGAUACGGGCAGACUGGAGUACUGCAGGGGAGACUGGAAUUCCUGGUGUAGCGGUGGAAUGCGCAGAUAUCAGGAGGAACACCGGUGGCGAAGGCGGGUCUCUGGGCCGAUACUGACGCUGAGGAGCGAAAGCGUGGGGAGCGAACAGGAUUAGAUACCCUGGUAGUCCACGCUGUAAACGAUGGAUGCUAGCCGUCAGCAAGCAUGCUUGUUGGUGGCGCAGCUAACGCAUUAAGCAUCCCGCCUGGGGAGUACGGCCGCAAGGUUAAAACUCAAGAG
rnacentral:rRNA from 1 species